CAAGGACGGUGAUCAGUAGUUGUUCGGAGAGGAUGAUCAGUCACAGUGGGACUGAGACUCGUCCAGAUUCCUACGGAGGCAGCAGUGGGAAGUUUCUGCAAUGGGCGCAAGCCUGACGGAGCAACGGCCGCGUGAGGGACGACGCCUCUGGGCUGUAAACCUCUUUAUCAAGGAAGAAGAUCUGACGGUACGUGAUGAAUAAGCCACGGCUAAUUCCGUGCCAGCAGCCGCGGUAAUACGGGAGUGGCAAGCGUUAUCCGGAAUUAUUGGGCGUAAAGCGUCCGCAGGCGGCCUUGCAAGUCUGCUGUCAAAGAGUGGAGCUUAACUCCAUAAAGGCAGUGGAAACUGUGAGGCUUGAGUGUGGUAGGGGCAGAGGGAAUUCCCGGUGUAGCGGUGAAAUGCGUAGAUAUCGGGAAGAACACCAGUGGCGAAGGCGCUCUGCUGGGCCAUAACUGACGCUCAUGGACGAAAGCCAGGGGAGCGAAAGGGAUUAGAUACCCCUGUAGUCCUGGCCGUAAACGAUGAACACUAGGUGUCGGGGGAAUCGACCCCCUCGGUGUCGUAGCCAACGCGUUAAGUGUUCCGCCUGGGGAGUACGCACGCAAGUGUGAAACUCAAAGGAAUUGACGGGGGCCCGCACAAGCGGUGGAGUAUGUGGUUUAAUUCGAUGCAACGCGAAGAACCUUACCAGGGUUUGACAUCCUGCGAACCCCUGAGAGAUCGGGGGGUGCCUUCGGGAGCGCAGAGACAGGUGGUGCAUGGCUGUCGUCAGCUCGUGUCGUGAGAUGUUGGGUUAAGUCCCGCAACGAGCGCAACCCACGUCUUUAGUUGCCAGCAUUAAGUUGGGCACUCUAGAGAGACCGCCGGUGAUAAACCGGAGGAAGGUGUGGAUGACGUCAAGUCAUCAUGCCCCUUACAUCCUGGGCUACACACGUACUACAAUGCUACGGACAGAGGGCAGCAAACUCGCGAGAGCUAGCAAAUCCCAUAAACCGUGGCUCAGUUCAGAUCGUAGGCUGCAACUCGCCUACGUGAAGGAGGAAUCGCUAGUAAUCGCAGGUCAGCAUACUGCGGUGAAUACGUUCC
rnacentral:rRNA from 1 species